rnacentral:rRNA from 1 species
UACGUAGGGAGCAAGCGUUGUCCGGAAUCAUUGGGCGUAAAGCGCGCGUAGGCGGCCUCAUAAGUCCGUUGUGAAAGUCAAAGGCUCAACCUUUGAAAGCCGAUGGAUACUGUGAGGCUAGAGUCCGGAAGAGGCGAGUGGAAUUCCUGGUGUAGCGGUGGAAUGCGCAGAUAUCAGGAGGAACACCAAUAGCGAAGGCAGCUCGCUGGGACGGUACCGACGCUAAGGCGCGAAAGCGUGGGGAGCGAACAGG